AUUGAACGCUGGCGGCAUGCCUUACACAUGCAAGUCGAUCGGUAACAGGUCUUCGGAUGCUGACGAGUGGCGAACGGGUGAGUAAUACAUCGGAACGUGCCUAGUAGUGGGGGAUAACUACUCGAAAGAGCGGCUAAUACCGCAUGAGAUCUACGGAUGAAAGCAGGGGAUCGCAAGACCUUGUGCUACUAGAGCGGCCGAUGGCAGAUUAGGUAGUUGGUGGGAUAAAAGCUUACCAAGCCGACGAUCUGUAGCUGGUCUGAGAGGACGAUCAGCCACACUGGACUGAGACACGGCCCAGACUCCUACGGGAGGCAGCAGUGGGGAAUUUUGGACAAUGGGCGCAAGCCUGAUCCAGCAAUGCCGCGUGCAGGAUGAAGGCCUUCGGGUUGUAAACUGCUUUUGUACGGAACGAAAGGCCCUGGGUUAAUACCCUGGGGUCAUGACGGUACCGUAAGAAUAAGCACCGGCUAACUACGUGCCAGCAGCCGCAGUAA
rnacentral:rRNA from 1 species